GGCGGUUAGAUAANUCUGAAGUUAAAGGCUGUGGCUUAACCAUAGUACGCUUUGGAAACUGUUUAACUUGAGUGCAGAAGGGGAGAGUGGAAUUCCAUGUGUAGCGGUGAAAUGCGUAGAUAUAUGGAGGAACACCGGUGGCGAAAGCGGCUCUCUGGUCUGUAACUGACGCUGAGGCUCGAAAGCGUGGGGAGCGAACAGGAUUAGAUACCCUGGUAGUNCACGCCGUAAACGAUGAGUGCUAGGUGUUAGGCCCUUUCCGGGGCUUAGUGCCGCAGCUAACGCAUUAAGCACUCCGCCUGGGGAGUACGACCGCAAGGUUGAAACUCAAAGGAAUUGACGGGGGCCCGCACAAGCGGUGGAGCAUGUGGUUUAAUUCGAAGCAACGCGAAGAACCUUACCAGGUCUUGACAUCCCGAUGCCCGCCCUAGAGAUAGAGUUUUACUUCGGUACAUCGGUGACAGGUGGUGCAUGGUUGUCGUCAGCUCGUGUCGUGAGAUGUUGGGUUAAGUCCCGCAACGAGCGCAACCCUUAUUGUUAGUUGCCAUCAUUCAGUUGGGCACUCUAGCGAGACUGCCGGUAAUAAACCGGAGGAAGGUGGGGAUGACGUCAAAUCAUCAUGCCCCUUAUGACCUGGGCUACACACGUGCUACAAUGGCCGGUACAACGAGUCGCAAGUCGGUGACGGCAAGCUAAUCUCUUAAAGCCAGUCUCAGUUCGGAUUGUAGGCUGCAACUCGCCUACAUGAAGUCGGAAUCGCUAGUAAUCGCGGAUCAGCACGCCGCGGUGAAUACGUUCCCGGGCCUUGUACACACCGCCCGUCACACCACGAGAGUUUGUAACACCCGA
rnacentral:rRNA from 1 species